UCUGCCCSAAGAAGCCYUYKCCCCAAAGAANCHCCUCCGCCCGAGGAGGGUCCGCGUUGUAAUUUGCABAGGAUGCUUCGGGCUCARCCCCCGWCUAAGUGCCCUGGAACGGGCCGUCGGAGAGGGUGAGAAUCCCGUCUGGGACGGGGUGCCUGGGUCCAUGUGAAGCUCCUUCGACGAGUCGAGUUGUUUGGGAAUGCAGCUCUAAAUGGGUGGUAAAUUUCAUCUAAAGCUAAAUACUGGCCGGAGACCGAUAGCGCACAAGUAGAGUGAUCGAAAGAUGAAAAGCACUUUGAAAAGAGAGUUAAACAGCACGUGAAAUUGUUGAAAGGGAAGCGCUUGCKAUCAGACUCGCCUGCGGGGUUCAGCCGGCAUUCGUGCCGGUGUACUUCCCCGUGGGCGGGCCAGCSUCGGUUCGGGUGGSCGGUSAAAGGCCCCGGGAAUGUGUCGCCCUCCGGGGCGGCUUAUAGCCCGGGGUGCCAUGCGGYCUACCUGGACCGAAGAACSCGCUUCRGCUCKGACKCUGGCGUAAUGGUCGUAAGCGACCCGUCUUGAAACACGGACCAMGGAGUCUAACRUCUACRCGAGUGUUUGGGUGGCAAACCCWUACGCGCAGUGAAAGCGAACGGAGGUGGGAACCCUUSGGGGCGCACCAUCGACCGAUCCUGAUGUMUUCGGAUGGAUUUGAGUAAGAGCGUAGCUGUGGGGACCCGAAAGAUGGYGAACUAUGCCUGAAUAGAGRCGAAGCCAGAGGAAACUCUGGUGGAGGCUCGYAGCGGAUCUGACGUGCAAAUCKAUCGUCAAAUUUGGGUAUAGGGGCGAAAGACUAAUSGGACCAUCUGGUAACUGGGUCCUGCCGAAGU
rnacentral:rRNA from 1 species